AGACGGGCUAUAGCAUGCUAUAGUUGUCAGCUAAGUGGCGCACGGGUGAGUAAUGUAUAGGUAAUAUGCCUCUUACUAAGGGAUAACAAAUGGAAACGUUUGCUAAUACCUUAUACUCCUUUUAAACAGAAGUUUAAAAGGGAAAGAUUUAUUGGUAAGAGAUUAGCCUGUAUUGUAUCAGUUAGUUGGUGGGGUAAUGGCUUACCAAGACUAUGACACAUAACUGGUUUGAGAGGAUGAUCAGUCACACUGGAACUGAGACACGGUCCAGACUCCUACGGGAGGCAGCAGUGGGGAAUAUUGCACAAUGGACGGAAGUCUGAUGCAGCAACGCCGCGUGGAAGAUGACACAUUUCGGUGCGUAAACUCCUUUUAUAUAAGAAGAUAAUGACGGUAUUAUAUGAAUAAGCACCGGCUAACUCCGUGCCAGCAGCCGCGGUAAUACGGGGGGUGCAAGCGUUACUCGGAAUCACUGGGCGUAAAGAGCAUGUAGGCGGAUUAAUAAGUUUGAAGUGAAAUCCUAUAGCUUAACUAUAGAACUGCUUUGAAAACUGUUGAUCUAGAAUGUGGGAGAGGUAGAUGGAAUUUCUGGUGUAGGGGUAAAAUCCGUAGAGAUCAGAAGGAAUACCGAUUGCGAAGGCGAUUUACUGGAACACAAUUGACGCUGAGAUGCGAAAGCGUGGGGAGCAAACAGGAUUAGAUACCCUGGUAGUCCACGCCCUAAACGAUGUACACUAGUUGUUGUGAGACUAGAUCUUGCAGUAAUGCAGUUAACACAUUAAGUGUACCGCCUGGGGAGUACGGUCGCAAGAUUAAAACUCAAAGGAAUAGACGGGGACCCGCACAAGCGGUGGAGCAUGUGGUUUAAUUGGACGAUACACGAAGAACCUUACCUCGACUUGACAUAGUAAGAACUUUCUAGAGAUAGAUUGGUGUCUGCUUGCAGAAACUUAUAUAC
rnacentral:rRNA from 2 species